AAUUCGCCCUUAGAGUUUGAUCCUGGCUCAGGAUGAACGCUAGCUACAGGCUUAACACAUGCAAGUCGAGGGGCAGCGGGAUUGAAGCUUGCUUCAAUUGCCGGCGACCGGCGCACGGGUGAGUAACGCGUAUCCAACCUUCCGUACACUCAGGGAUAGCCUUUCGAAAGAAAGAUUAAUACCUGAUGGUAUGAUGAGAUUGCAUGAUAGCAUCAUUAAAGAUUUAUCGGUGUACGAUGGGGAUGCGUUCCAUUAGGUAGUAGGCGGGGUAACGGCCCACCUAGCCAACGAUGGAUAGGGGUUCUGAGAGGAAGGUCCCCCACAUUGGAACUGAGACACGGUCCAAACUCCUACGGGAGGCAGCAGUGAGGAAUAUUGGUCAAUGGCCGAGAGGCUGAACCAGCCAAGUCGCGUGAAGGAAGAAGGAUCUAUGGUUUGUAAACUUCUUUUAUAAGGGAAUAAACCCUCCCACGUGUGGGAGCUUGUAUGUACCUUAUGAAUAAGCAUCGGCUAACUCCGUGCCAGCAGCCGCGGUAAUACGGAGGAUGCGAGCGUUAUCCGGAUUUAUUGGGUUUAAAGGGAGCGCAGACGGGUCGUUAAGUCAGCUGUGAAAGUUUGGGGCUCAACCUUAAAAUUGCAGUUGAUACUGGCGUCCUUGAGUGCGGUUGAGGUGUGCGGAAUUCGUGGUGUAGCGGUGAAAUGCUUAGAUAUCACGAAGAACUCCGAUUGCGAAGGCAGCACACUAAUCCGUAACUGACGUUCAUGCUCGAAAGUGUGGGUAUCAAACAGGAUUAGAUACCCUGGUAGUCCACACGGUAAACGAUGGAUACUCGCUGUUGGCGAUAUACUGUCAGCGGCUUAGCGAAAGCGUUAAGUAUCCCACCUGGGGAGUACGCCGGCAACGGUGAAACUCAAAGGAC
rnacentral:rRNA from 1 species